rnacentral:rRNA from 1 species
UUUUCAGAGAUGAGAAUGUGCCUUCGGGAACCGUGAGACAGGUGCUGCAUGGCUGUCGUCAGCUCGUGUUGUGAAAUGUUGGGUUAAGUCCCGCAACGAGCGCAACCCUUAUCCUUUGUUGCCAGCGGUCCGGCCGGGAACUCAAAGGAGACUGCCAGUGAUAAACUGGAGGAAGGUGGGGAUGACGUCAAGUCAUCAUGGCCCUUACGACCAGGGCUACACACGUGCUACAAUGGCGCAUACAAAGAGAAGCGACCUCGCGAGAGCAAGCGGACCUCAUAAAGUGCGUCGUAGUCCGGAUUGGAGUCUGCAACUCGACUCCAUGAAGUCGGAAUCGCUAGUAAUCGUGGAUCAGAAUGCCACGGUGAAUACGUUCCCGGGCCUUGUACACACCGCCCGUCACACCAUGGGAGUGGGUUGCAAAAGAAGUAGGUAGCUUAACCUUCGGGAGGGCGCUUACCACUUUGUGAUUCAUGACUGGGGUGAAGUCGUAACAAGGUAACCGUAGGGGAACCUGCGGUUGGAUCACCUUCUUACCUUAAAGAA